ACUUUUCUGAUGUGCUUUCAUGCCUUUUUUCCCAUUCGUUUAUUUAUUUACAGAUAUUUGUGAAAUGGCUGCUGUGGCUGGACUGUAUCCUAGAUGCUGGUGAUGCGUUGGUGAAUAAGACAAACCUUGCUCUGACUGUUGGAAGCUUGUAUUUUCAUGAUGGAAAGACAAACAAUGCACAACUAAAUAAACAAGAUGUUUUUGGAGAGUGACAGAAGAACUAAGAUCAGAUUGAUGGUGAUUUUUCCUGAGUGCCAAAGUUAAGUCAAUGCCACCAGGGAAAGUGGGAGAAGAAACUGCCCUACUAUCUACAUUUAGGGAAUUCUCACUGAAGAUUUCAGUACUUAUUUGUGUGGGUGAAUUUAACUGUGAUGGUGGGAACAAAACAGGUAUUGAAUCUACUUAGAGCCAAGAGGAGAUAAAUAAAAGGUAAUCAAAAUCUGGAUAUUGAACUUGAGCGUAUUUUCAGCAUCUUUGCCUAUGUAACAAUACAGAUAUACGAAUUGAAUGGGUGCUGCUUUAUUUCUGUCAAUAUGCUAGAAGGUGAAGGUACAGGGAGAUUUUGUACUUUCUCCUUAACAUUUAAAAUACAUUCUAAAUAGUGUUUCUUGGUAUCAUAAAAUUAACAGUUGAACCUCCUCAUCCAAUUAUGAACCAAUAAUCUAAAUCACCUCCUAAAAAGAAGAAAGAAAUAUCAACUUUGCAGAUAGUUUCCCCUGGCUCGCAGAUCUUCAGUUAAUACCAAAAUAUCCGGUUUGGCUGCCAACAUGUGCAUCAUUUCCCCCAUAUACCUCAGUCUCAUUUCUUUUCACGUUUCGGCAUUUGCACUCUGUUUCUGAGUCUUUAUUUCAACAGAUUAAAAGAAGAUAAAGAUCUGCUAGUGGUGGC
rnacentral:lncRNA from 1 species